rnacentral:rRNA from 1 species
UACGGGGGGAGCAAGCGUUGUUCGGAUUUACUGGGCGUAAAGGGCGCGUAGGCGGCCAGCACAAGUCACUUGUGAAAUCUCCGGGCUUAACCCGGAGCGGUCAAGUGAUACUGUCGUGCUAGAGUGGCGGAAGGGGCUACUGGAAUUCUCGGUGUAGCGGUGAAAUGCGUAGAUAUCGAGAGGAACACCUGGCGGCGAAGGCGGGUAGCUGGGCCGACACUGACGCUGAUGCGGCGAAAGCCAGGGGAGCGAACGGG